GAUGAACGCUGGCGGCGUGCCUAAUACAUGCAAGUCGAGCGAACGGACGAGAAGCUUGCUUUUCUGAUGUUAGCGGCGGACGGGUGAGUAACACGUGGAUAACCUACCUAUAAGACUGGGAUAACUUCGGGAAACCGGAGCUAAUACCGGAUAAUAUUUUGAACCGCAUGGUUCAAAAGUGAAAGACGGUCUUGCUGUCACUUAUAGAUGGAUCCGCGCUGCAUUAGCUAGUUGGUAAGGUAACGGCUUACCAAGGCAACGAUGCAUAGCCGACCUGAGAGGGUGAUCGGCCACACUGGAACUGAGACACGGUCCAGACUCCUACGGGAGGCAUCAGUAGGGAAUCUUCCGCAAUGGGCGAAAGCCUGACGGAGCAACGCCGCGUGAGUGAUGAAGGUCUUCGGAUCGUAAAACUCUGUUAUUAGGGAAGAACAUAUGUGUAAGUAACUGUGCACAUCUUGACGGUACCUAAUCAGAAAGCCACGGCUAACUACGUG
rnacentral:rRNA from 1 species